UACGUAGGGUGCAAGCGUUGUCCGGAUUUAUUGGGCGUAAAGAGCGUGUAGGCGGUUGCACAGGUCCGUUGUGAAAACUGGAGGCUUAACCUUCAGACUUCGAUGGAAACCGUGCGGCUAGAGUACGGAAGAGGAGAGUGGAAUUCCUGGUGUAGCGGUGAAAUGCGCAGAUAUCAGGAAGAACACCCGUGGCGAAGGCGGCUCUCUGGGACGGUACUGACGCUGAGACGCGAAAGCGUGGGGAGCGAACAGG
rnacentral:rRNA from 1 species